UCUGCAGUCGAGCGACGGACGAGAAGCUUGCUUCUCUGAUGUUAGCGGCGGACGGGUGAGUAACACGUGGAUAACCUACCUAUAAGACUGGGAUAACUUCGGGAAACCGGAGCUAAUACCGGAUAAUAUUUUGAACCGCAUGGUUCAAAAGUGAAAGACGGUCUUGCUGUCACUUAUAGAUGGAUCCGCGCUGCAUUAGCUAGUUGGUAAGGUAACGGCUUACCAAGGCAACGAUGCAUAGCCGACCUGAGAGGGUGAUCGGCCACACUGGAACUGAGACACGGUCCAGACUCCUACGGGAGGCAGCAGUAGGGAAUCUUCCGCAAUGGGCGAAAGCCUGACGGAGCAACGCCGCGUGAGUGAUGAAGGUCUUCGGAUCGUAAAACUCUGUUAUUAGGGAAGAACAUAUGUGUAAGUAACUGUGCACAUCUUGACGGUACCUAAUCAGAAAGCCACGGCUAACUACGUGCCAGC
rnacentral:rRNA from 1 species